ensembl:lncRNA
CCCACUUCCUGUUGGCGGAAUCCGUAUUUGAGCGCCCAAAUUAACAGUGCUUCCUUACAAAUUCUCCGGGAUUAAUUUUCAACCUACAGGAGGCUCGGGUCGCUCCCUAACUCCCCAGAGGGUGUAGGAUCUGUGGUCCCGGUGCCGGCUUGACGAUCCCUGGGUUCCUAGAAGGACCUCGCUACGCAGCUCUCUCAGCUGCCCGCGGUAGAGGAGAGCUAGCAAGGAUAAUAAACCGGUUUUAUUUCCAAGUGGAGCUCCAUCCAGGGACCCAGAGGUCCUUGGGCGGGCACCGAAACCACCGGGUUAAGGCCCUUGAAUUUUUUGAGGUUGUUUGCUUCCAAGAAAACAACCAAUCUGUGACCAAGAUGUAAUUAAAACCCACGAUUUCUAAUUCCCAGGCUUUGACUCCAACCUCUGAAAAUGCUUCAAUUCAAUGAAACUAAUGGCACUUUGGUCUCUGGAAUUAGAUCCUGUUAUCAAUGACUUCCACAUGGAAAGAUCAUUCCAAAAUGUGUAAUUAACCAAGAAAAUGCAAAUAAAC